UUAGCUUCUCUUCAAAAGAUCCUUUAACAGUUACUGAGUAGUUAUAACUCGGCUUCGAUCCAAACUCUAGAGAUGGAACAUUUGAAGCAAAGCUUCGAGGAGUUUACAGAGUAAAAAGGUUCAAUGCUUGUGUUGUCUUGCGGUAAACCACGUGACCGAUGACAAACGAUGUCUCGCAUUUCCGUGGACACGUCACUGCUUCAUUUCGCGUGUGGAAGUUCAAAAUAAAAGCGCGAUGACACUUGUUGCUUCGUGGGUUGUUGUAGUGGUUUGGUCGCACAUCAGCAGAAAUAGGAGCAUCUGAGAAGAAUGGAGGCAACAAAAAAAGGAAAACUUCUCCCAUCUGGAAGUAAUUUGAAAUGUGUGCUCAAAACAAGGUUCCAGAAAGCAGGUGUUGGAUGAUGCUGUGAUCAAUCUUAUUGUAAAAGAUUCACAGCCCUUUACUGUUGUGGAAGACGAGGCGUUCAGGGAACUUGUUCAUUUGCUGGAUCCCUCCUAUGUUCUCCCUACUAGAAAAGGCAUUAAAGAAGAUGGUGGAGGAAAAAUAUGAAAAAAGUAAAAGGCCAAAGAGGACAUGCAGAAGGUGUUUCCUGUGAGCCUGACAGCAGAUAUGUGGACAUCAAUAAAUAUGGAGGUGUACCUGGCAAUAACAUGCCACUUUGUUGAUGCAGAUGACAAACUGGGCAUUGUGCUGCUUGGAGUUGAACAUUUCCCUCAUAGUCACACAUCAGAAAAUCUGGCAAAGGUAGUUCAUACCCACAUGGAGGAGUGGGGAAUAACUAAUAAGGUUACCUGCCUAGUCACUGAUGCUGCAUCAAACAUGAUUGCAUGUGUUAAGGCCUUAAGGAUCAGGCACUCUGUGUGCAUUGCUCAUGCACUGAAUGUGUUGGUAAGAAAAACAUUUGACCUGGUCCCUGUUCUCCGUGACCUUCGGAAAUACGGCAAACGAAUUGUAACAUAUUUUCACUCAAGUACCAAAGGUAAAGAAA